AGCAGCCGCGGUAAUUCCAGCUCCAAUAGCGUAUAUUAAAGUUGUUGCAGUUAAAAAGCUCGUAGUUGAAUUUCGGGAUCAGUACGCUGGUCAUGCCUUUGGUAUGCACUGGUGUCACUGGUUUCUCCCUUCUGAAGAUCCGUGAUGUCAUUAAUUUGGUGUCGCAGGGAAUCAGGACUGUUACUUUGAAAAAAUUAGAGUGUUUAAAGCAGGCUCACGCUUGAAUACAUUAGCAUGGAAUAAUGAAAUAGGACGUUUGACCCUAUUUUGUUGGUUUCUAGGAUCGACGUAAUGAUUAAUAGGGAUAGUUGGGGGCAUUAGUAUUCAAUUGUCAGAGGUGAAAUUCUUGGAUUUAUUGAAGACUAACUACUGCGAAAGCAUUUGCCAAGGAUGUUUUCAUUAAUCAAGAACGAAAGUUAGGGGAUCGAAGACGAUCAGAUACCGUCGUAGUCUUAACCAUAAACUAUGCCG
rnacentral:rRNA from 1 species